AUGAGGCUUGAGCGAGGAACGGCUGGGGGCUUGAGCGAGGAACGAGGCUAGAGCGAGAAACAGGGCUUGAGCGAGGAACGAGGCUAGAGCGAGGAACAGGGCUUGAGCGAGGAACGAGGCUAGAGCGAG